AUGGACGCCGGUUCCUCAUCCUCGCCGCUGCACAUCGUGGUCGUCCCGUGGCUCGCGUUCGGCCACCUGCUCCCGUACCUGGAGCUCUCCGAGCGGCUCGCCGAGCGCGGCCACCGGGUGUCCUACGUCUCCACGCCGCGCAACCUCGCCCGCCUCCCGACGCUGCGCUCCGCCGCGGCGCCGCGCGUGGACCUCGUCGCGCUCCCGCUCCCGCGCGUCGACGGCCUCCCCGACGGUGCCGAAUCCACCAACGAUGUGCCCGACGACAAGCGGGAGCUCCACUUCAAGGCCUUCGACGGCCUCGCCGCGCCCUUCGCGGCGUUCAUGGCCGCCGCGUGCGCCGACGAGGCCACAAGGCCUCACUGGGUCAUCGCCGACUGCUUCCACCACUGGGUCGCCGCCGCCGCCUUCGAGCACAAGGUCCCAUGCGCGUUACUUCUCCCGACCGCGGCUUUGAUCGCUACCGCGCACCGCGACCAGCCGGCGGAAGCGCGGGUUGUGACCCACACCCGCCCUCGUUACGAGGAGGAGGAGGUGGCACCAAUUUACGACGACCAUGGCGCGUCGGGCAUGUCCAUCGUCCAGCGCUUCUAUUUGACGAAAGAGAAGUGUGCGCUGGCGGCCAUCCGGAGCUGCGUCGAGUGGGAGCCCGAGUCCUUCCCGCUGGUGCCGACGGUCAUCGGCCUGCCGGUCGUGCCCCUCGGCCUUCUACCGCCGUCACCGGACGGAGGCCGCCGUGCCGACGGCAUCAACGGAUCAGCAGAGCAUGCCACCGUGCGCUGGCUGGACGCGCAGCCUGCAGGUUCGGUUGUGUACGUAGCGCUGGGGAGUGAAGUGCCGCUGCGUGUGGAGCAGGUGCACGAGCUUGCCCUCGGGCUGGAGCUCGCCGGGACACGCUUCCUCUGGGCUCUUAGGAAGCCCAGCGGCGCAGCAGUCCACGACGACGACGCCGACAUGCUUCCUCCCGGCUUCCAAGAGCGCACUGGCGGCCAGGGGCUGGUGACCACGGGGUGGGUUCCUCAGAUGAGCAUCCUGGCGCACGCCGCCGUGGGCGGGUUCCUGACGCACUGCGGCCGGAACUCACUGAUCGAGGGCCUCCUGUUCGGGCAUCCGCUCGUCAUGCUGCCCAUCUUCGGGGACCAAGGGCCGAACGCGCGGCAGAUGGAGGUGAAGAAGGUGGGGUUGCAGGUGGCGAGGAACGAGGACGACGGAUCGUUCGACCGCCAUGGCGUCGCGAGCGCGAUCCGGGCUGUGAUGGUUGACGGAGAUGCCCGGAGGAGCUUCGUGGCAGGUGCAGCGAAAAUGCAGGAGGUCGUAGCUAAUACGGAGCGGCAGGAGAGGUGGGUCAGCAAGUUUGCCGCCCCGCAUGUCAAUGGCCGUAAAUCAGCUAAGAUAAAGUCGGCGAAUCUCAGCCCCCUCGUUACCUGA
rnacentral:rRNA from 1 species